rnacentral:piRNA from 1 species
UCAAAAAAAAGUUUAAAAUGCUUAGAGAG